UACGUAGGGGGCAAGCGUUGUCCGGAUUUAUUGGGCGUAAAGGGUGCGUAGGCGGCGCGGUAAGUCGGGUGUGAAAUUUCGAGGCUUAACUUCGAAACUGCAUUCGAUACUGCCGUGCUAGAGGACUGGAGAGGAGACUGGAAUUUACGGUGUAGCGGUGAAAUGCGUAGAUAUCGUAAGGAAGACCAGUGGCGAAGGCGGGUCUCUGGACAGUUCCUGACGCUGAGGCACGAAGGCCAGGGGAGCAAACGGG
rnacentral:rRNA from 1 species